rnacentral:rRNA from 1 species
CAGGGGAUAACAUUUGGAAACAAAUGCUAAUACCGUAUAAUAAUUAAAACCGCAUGGUUUUAGUUUAAAAGAUGGUCUUGCUAUCACUAAGAGAUGGUCCCGCGGUGUAUUAGCUAGUUGGUGAGGUAAUGGCUCACCAAGACAAUGAUACAUAGCCGAGUUGAGAGACUGACCGGCCACAAUGGGACUGAGACACGGCCCAUACUCCUACGGGAGGCAGCAGUAGGGAAUCUUCCACAAUGGACGAAAGUCUGAUGGAGCAACGCCGCGUGUGUGAUGAAGGGUUUCGGCUCGUAAAACACUGUUGUAAGAGAAGAAUGACAUUGAGAGUAACUGUUCAAUGUGUGACGGUAUCUUACCAGAAAGGAACGGCUAAAUACGUG